GAAUUUUGCGCAAUGGGCGAAAGCCUGACGCAGCAACGCCGCGUGGAGGAUGAAGGUCUUUGGAUUGUAAACUCCUGUCAGCAGGGAAAAAGGCUCGUGGCCACACCACGAGAUUGAUUGUACCUGCAGAGGAAGCCCCGGCUAACUCUGUGCCAGCAGCCGCGGUAAUACAGAGGGGGCGAGCGUUAUUCGGAAUUAUUGGGCGUAAAGGGCGCGUAGGCGGCGACUCAAGUGGAAGGUGAAAUCCCCGGGCUUAACCUGGGAACUGCCCUCCAAACUGAGUAGCUUGAGUCCGGGAGAGGUGAGUGGAAUUCCCAGUGUAGCGGUGGAAUGCGUAGAUAUUGGGAGGAACACCAGUGGCGAAGGCGGCUCACUGGACCGGAACUGACGCUGAGGCGCGAAAGCGUGGGGAGCAAAC
rnacentral:rRNA from 1 species